UGACCUCGGAUCAGGUAGGGAUACCCGCUGAACUUAAGCAUAUCAAAAAACGCGGAGGAGG
rnacentral:rRNA from 1 species